GACAGAGGCCUCAAGCGUUAGGCGGAAUCACUGGGCUUAAAGCGUGUGUAGGCGGAUCGUUAAGUGUCUUGUGAAAUCCCACGGCUCACCCGUGGAACUGCUGGGCAUACUGGCGAUCUUGGGCCAACUAGGGGCAACUGGAACAAGCGGUGGAGCGGUGAAAUGCGUAGAUAUCGCUUGGAACGCCAACGGUGAAAACAGGUUGCUGGGGUUGUGCCGACGCU
rnacentral:rRNA from 1 species